GGUGUUGCAACAGGCGUAUAGGAACAGUUCUGUAAGUGGCGCAAUAACCUUUAGAAAAAUUACCCAUGAAUUUACCAAUCCCGUCAUACAUGGCAUAACAAGUGUAAUUACCUGUAUAGACUGUGAUUCCAUCUGGUGGCUUAACAUUUUCAACUAAGAGAGGGUAUUCUGCCGUCCAUGCCACGCAGAGGGACCUAUUAAAGUCAUAUUGGUAGGCAAAAAGGCUUAAGAAGCAAUCUUCUAUCUCUAAAGGGAGAAUUAGGGGGACGGUGCCAAGGUGGGGUCGGGCACCGCCACAUACAUAACAUGCUGUUUUAUUAUGUUUGUUGGCAUUAUAUUUCAUCCACUCUAACCACAAAUUAAUGUCAUUGAAUCCAGUUUCAGCGGCCAUGGUAUCUUCAAAAGUGGGGUUAGCGAUGGCCAUCAUA